UCUGUGUGUUCCUCGGGACCGUUGUGGUUGUGAGGAUGCAACGGGUGGCUACCAUCAGUUAGGCGACACAUGGGCCUCUCGUAACUGUACUCAUUGGUAUAUGUGUGUGGAACCCAACCAAAUAGAGGAAAUACAGAGUCCAUGUGGUGUAGGGAGCCAGUGCCAGCUUGUAGAUGGCCUGUGGACGUGUACCGAUCCCAUCAAAACUACUGAACCCCCAGUAAUUGUAUAAUACCAAAAUGAAGAAGCUGUGUUACUUCUCUGACGUCAUGCUAGUGAGCGCUGCAAACUUCUUCACAUUCUACAGCAGUUUAAAAAGCUGGGGAAACAUUUUCUGGGCAUUUUUGUGGAUAUAUAGAAGGCGUAAAAAACGUUCAAUCGUUUUAACCAUUUUACCGACCGUAAAAUUCUGUAUCAACCUUAUCAGAGGGCUACCAGGAAAAAGUACUUGUAGAUACAAUGAAUGAUGAAUGUGUAGUAGCCUGCUACCGUAUGUUAGAGUAUCUGAUUAAAAAUGCACCCAUGCAACACUAGCAUGUACACGUCAUAAGAAAUUAACCGGAAUAAAGAUUAU